rnacentral:lncRNA from 1 species
AGUGUUCAGCCCCUUAACCUAAGGAGGAGCUACACAAAUGAAGAACUGUGGAACUGACCUCAGAUGCUCUCUCGUUGGAAAUUGGCACGCAAACCACAACCACGAUGGCGGCUUCUGAGAGGUGGAGGAGAGGGGUGUGGCAAAGCAGCAAGGAAGGGGGUCUGGGGUCCAGCCCAGCUGGGACAGUGAAGGUUCCCUGUUCAAGGGGACUCUGUUCCUUGGACAAUGAUUGCUUCCUUUAUGCUCUGGAGUCCAGCAGAGACUGACACACAGUUGGGGCUAAACACGUCUGAGGGUGAUGAAACUCCCAUUUCUGACGCCGUCAACUUGUUUUCUGUAAUGUUAGCCCUGCCAUAUUCCAGCUCGACAGAGCUUGGGCAGCCCGAGGUGGUGACUGUAUUUGGCCAUCAGCCAUGUCCCUUGCAGGGCCAGUCUCUGAGGUGCCAUGAGACCUUCUGUGCCUGGCAAGCCGGGGCACUUCGGAGAAUGGCAGCUGCCUGGUUUCUCAGGGGAGCAACUACAUUCCUAAGUCGCUUGGGGAUCGCUUGACUUCCCUCAUUCAUUCACCCAUCCUUCCAUCCAUCUAUUCCUUCAUCCAGCAAAUUGGACCCCUUCCGUGUGCCAGACACUGUUCUGAGCAGAAGCACCUGCCCUUGAGGAAGUGACACUCCAGUGGGGAGAGACAAGUAAGCUCACAAAGAUCUAUCUGCAAAAUCAAAUUCCAGGUAGUGAUCAGUGCCACGAACAAAAAUAAAAAUGAAUAAAGAGAUGUAAAAUGAUUUCCUUCCCCAAGGGCAGAGGAUUCUUUCUAGCAGGUUAUUUGGAAAAGUUCCCUCUGAAGAGGUGACAUUUGAUCAUUGUUAAAGUCACAUGCAUCAUUGUGAACAUUUCACAAAACACAGAAGAACCUAAUGCUUUCGCACAAACCAUCAUCUAGAAAUCACACCAUCUCAACAUCUUGUCGUUUAAAAAUUGAUAUAUAAUAAUGGUACAUAUUUCUGGGGUCCCUGUGAUAUUUUGAUACAUGCAGACAAUGUGUAAUGAUCAAAUCAGGGUAAUUAGGCUAUCCAUCACUUCAAACAUGUAUCAUUUCUUUGCCAAUGCCUUGUCUUUUGUCGUCUUAAAGUACAGAUUUGCAUCAUGCUUUUUAAAAUUUAACAUUACACUAUAAUUAUUUUGUAGCUGUGUUUAUGUUUUUCUGUUUUCAAGUAUCAAUAUAUAGUAUGGAUUUUUAAAAAAUUGGUACUGUAAAUGUACAUGAAGUUUUUCUGUCUUUACAAAAGAAGUGCAUAUUGUUGUAUGAAUUCUAGAAAAU